rnacentral:misc_RNA from 1 species
GAUGAAGAACGUAGCGAAAUGCGAUACGUAAUGUGAAUUGCAGAAUUCAGUUAAUCAUCGAAUCUUUGAACGCAUAUUGCGCUCUUUGGUAUUCCGAAGAGCAUGCUUGUUUGAGUAUCAGUAAACACCUCAAAGCUUUUGGAUUUUUUAAUCGAAAAGCUUUGGACUUGAGCAAUCCCAACACCAAUCUUUUUGAGAUCGGUGGCGGGUUGCUUGAAAUGCAGGUGCAGCUGGACAUUCUCCUGAGCUAAAAGCAUAUUCAUUUAGUCCCGUCAAACGGAUUAUUACUUUUGCUGCAGCUAACAUAAAGGGAGUUUGACCGUAUUGGCUGACUGAUGCAGGAUUUCACAAGGGUCGGCAACGAUUCUUGUUAAACUCGAUCUCAAAUCAAGUAAGACUACCCGCUGAACUUAAGCAUAUCAAUAAGCGGAGGA